rnacentral:rRNA from 1 species
GACGUAGGGCGCGAGCGUUGUCCGGAUUUAUUGGGCGUAAAGAGCUCGUAGGCGGCUUGUCGCGUCGUCCGUGAAGACUUGGGGCUCAACCCCAAGCUUGCGGUCGAUACGGGCAGGCUAGAGUUCGGUAGGGGAGACUGGAAUUCCUGGUGUAGCGGUGAAAUGCGCAGAUAUCAGGAGGAACACCGGUGGCGAAGGCGGGUCUCUGGGCCGAUACUGACGCUGAGGAGCGAAAGCGUGGGGAGCGAACAGG